AUUCCAUGUUGUGGACAUUUUCUCAACAAUUCCUUGUAUCUUUCCCAUACUUCGUACAAGAUUUCGGACUCCAUCUGUCGAAAUGAAAAUAUGUCAUUUCUAAGCAU